GAAAUCAGGGCCAGAGCAAGUGCAGGCCUGCCUCAGGCAGGGAGCUGCUGCUGUGCUCCCACCCCCUCGGGGGACCCCAGCCCUUCCUGGUGAGCUAGGGAAGGAGAAGGGUGAGGGGCCAGGAUCUCUGGGACCCCAGGCAGCUUGGGAGGGUCUCUCGGCACUGUCAGGGGAAGCAUCCAGGGAGCUCCCCAUGAUUGGGUCAGUGCUUGUUCAGAAAACCUUCAAAAAUCAGCAGAAAGGACCCCAGCUUUGAACCCCAGGAUCAGCAACGAGGGACCUCAGAGGCUUCACCCACAGGGACAGCAGGAUCGUGUGAUGAUCGACCGUGAAGGUUCUUCUCAGCAGAUCAGUGAUCCCAGGCGAUCCGGAGAGACUUUGUGUAGAAAACGCCCUCUACAUCCAGAGAACGAGCUAUGGAAAAUAAAGUGUAAUUGAUCCAGCCAUUCUCCAGCUGAUGGGCAUCCAUCCGGUUUCCAGUUCCUUACUACCACAAAGAGGGCUGCCACAAACGCUUUUGCACAUGUGGGUCCUUUUCCCUCCUUUUGAUUCAGACCCAGAAAUGGCACUGCUGAGUCAAAGGGGACGCACAGUUUGAUAACUUUUUGAGCAUAGGUCCAAAUUGUUCUCUAGAAUGGUUGGAUCUGUUCACAGAUCCACCAACAAUGCAUCGGUGUCCCAGUUUUCCCACAUCCCCUCCAACAUUUAUCAUUAUCUUUUCCUGUCAUCUUACACAAUCUGAGAGGUAUAUGGUGGAACCUCAUUGUUUUUUUUUUACACAAUUACUUUUUUUAAAUUGUUCUUGUGUUUUAAUUCAUUUGAACUAAUAUAAAUCUCUUGUUCUUUUUUUUUAAUAAUUAUAAUUUUUUUAUUGACAGAACCCAUGCCAGGGUAAUUUUUUACAUUAUCCCUUGCAUUCACUUCUGUUCUGACUUUUCCCCUCCCUCCCUCCAUCCCCUCCCCCAGAUGGCAAGCAGUCCUUUACAUGUUGAAUGGGUUGCAGUAUAUCCUAGAUACAAUCUAUGUUUGCAGAACCGAACAGUUCCCUUGUUGCAUAGGGAGAAUUGGAUUCAGAAGGUAGAAAUAACCCGGGAAGAAAAACAAAAAUGCAGAUAGUUCACAUUCAUUUCCCAGUGUUCUUUCUUUGGGUGUAGCAGCUUCUGCCCAUCUUUGAUCAAUUGAAACUGAAUUAGCCUCUUUAUCGAAGAGAUCCCCUUCUAUCAGAAUCCGUCCUCAAACAGUAUCGUUGUUGGGGUAUAUAAUGAUCUGGUUCUGCUCAUUUCCCUCAGCAUCAGUUCCUGUGAGUCUCUCCAGUCCUCUCUGUAUUCCUCCUGCUGGUCAUUCCUUACAGAACAAUAAUAUUCCACAACAUUCAUAUACCACAGUUUACUCAACCAUUCUCCCAUUGAUGGGCGUCCAUCACAGUUGUUAUAAUUUGCAUUUCUCUCAUCAAUAGAGAUUUGGAGCAUCUUUUCCUAUGGCUAGAAAUGGUUUCAGUUUCUUCACCUGAGAAUUGUCCGUAUCCUUUGAUCUUUUGACAGUUGGGGAAUGAUUUGUAUUCUUAUCCGUUUGACUCAGUCCCCCCUACAUUUUAGAAAUGCUCGGCCUUCAUUCUCGAAGAGAACCAAUGACAUCCCGGGGAGCCCCACGCGAGGAUUUGGGGGCCGUGUUUCUCUCGGUCCAGAGGAUGAUUGUUCUUCACCGAGGGCCGGAGGCUGGGCCGGAGGCUGGGCCCUGCGUGUAUUGGCCGGGGAGCUUUUCCCAAAGCCCUCUGCGGGAGAUCCGGGAGGGGCUUCCUGCCCAGAGGCAGCUCAGCUCCCCCACAGAAGGUCCUGGGAGUGCAGCAGGGACAAGCCGAGGCAGUCAGAGAAGAACUAAGGUGGGGAGACUGAGGCUUUGUUCGGGUACCAGCCUCCCCCAGGAUGGUGUUCCUUCCCAUUAAUGCUUUAUCAGGCAGCGGUGGUUUUGUGCCGGCAGUGCUGGGCGCCGACCAGACAGGGAGCUCCGCGGGGCUGGGUACUCAGAGGAGCCAGGGACCCCAGAGGUUGGCUAGUCCGUCCCUCCCCCCACUCUAAACAGUAGAAAACUGGGGUUUGGCUUCCUUGGGGUCGCCUGGUCCCCCCUGCAUGCUCCAGGCUCCCUCUGCCCUUCCCCCCCAUCCAUGGCCUGAAGGAGAUAUCUGGGCGGCUCCAAGAAGGGGUCCCUCCCGGCAACCCCAGGCCAGGGCCUUCCCAGCAGCCAGACUCCUGCAGGGGAGCCCCAAGGACAGCCCGGGGGGAAGGAGCAGGGCUGGGCUCCGUCCAGCGCCUGCCUUCGGGCUCCAGCGCCUGCCUUCGGGCUCCCUGCCUCCUCUCCACCCCCCCCCCCCCACAGCUGCAUCCCUGCCUGGGGCCGCUCCUUCCCCGCUCCCUCCCCAUUCAGGCAUCCUUUUAAAGCCAGCUGGGGAGGGGGAGCAGGGAACAAUGAGGGGCCUUCUGAGUGAGAUCGG